UUGACCUCGGACCAGGCAGGGAUACCCGCUGAACUUAAGCAUAUCAAUAAGCGGAGGAAAAGAAACCAACAGGGAUUGCCUCAGUAACGGCGAGUGAAGCGGCAACAGCUCAAAUUUGAAAUCUGGCUCUUUUAGGGUCCGAGUUGUAAUUUGUAGAGGAUGCUUCGGCGUCGGCUCCGGUCUAAGUUCCUUGGAACAGGACGUCAUAGAGGGUGAGAAUCCCGUAUGUGAUCGGUUGCCCUUGCCAUGUGAAGCUCCUUCGACGAGUCGAGUUGUUUGGGAAUGCAGCUCUAAAUGGGAGGUAAAUUUCUUCUAAAGCUAAAUACUGGCCAGAGACCGAUAGCGCACAAGUAGAGUGAUCGAAAGAUGAAAAGCACUUUGGAAAGAGAGUCA
rnacentral:rRNA from 1 species